UACGGGGGGGGCAAGCGUUGUUCGGAAUUACUGGGCGUAAAGGGCUCGUAGGCGGCCAACUAAGUCGGACGUGAAAUCCCUCGGCUUAACCGGGGAACUGCGUCCGAUACUGGAUGGCUUGAGUUUGGGAGAGGGAUGCGGAAUUCCAGGUGUAGCGGUGAAAUGCGUAGAUAUCUGGAGGAACACCGGUGGCGGAGGCAGUUCUCUGGGCCGUAACUGACGCUGAGGAGCGAAAGCGUGGGGAGCGAACAGG
rnacentral:rRNA from 1 species